rnacentral:rRNA from 1 species
GACGGAGGGUGCUAGCGUUGUUCGGAAUUACUGGGCGUAAAGGGCGCGUAGGCGGCCGGAUCAGUCGGGUGUGAAAGCCCGGGGCUCAACCCCGGAACGGCACCCGAGACGGUCUGGCUGGAGACCGGGAGAGGAGGGUGGAAUAGCCAGUGUAGAGGUGAAAUUCGUAGAUAUUGGCUGGAACACCGGUGGCGAAAGCGGCUCUCUGGCCCGGUUCUGACGCUGAGGCGCGAAAGCGUGGGGAGCAAACAGG